rnacentral:rRNA from 1 species
UCCUUGCCAGCAGCCGCGGUAAUACGGAGGGGGUUAGCGUUGUUCGGAAUUACUGGGCGUUAAGCGCGCGUAGGCGGACAUUUAAGUCAGGGGUGAAAUCCCGGGGCUCAACCCCGGAACUGCCCUUGAUACUGGGUGUCUUGAGUUCGAGAGAGGUGAGUGGAAUUCCGAGUGUACAGGUGAAAUUCGUAGAUAUUCGGAGGAACACCAGUGGCGAAGGCGGCUCACUGGCUCGAUACUGACGCUAAGGUGCGAAAGUGUGGGGAGCAAACAGGAUUAGAUACCCUGGUUGUCCCCCCCGUAAACUAUGAAGGCCAGUCGUCGGGUAGCACGCUAUUCGGUGACACACCUAACGGAUUAAGCAUUUCGCCUGGGG